rnacentral:lncRNA from 1 species
GUGAAUGAAUGAAUUCAUGAUGAUUCAAGGUUAUUUUAAUGAUAAUGGCAAUGCACUCACAAAGGAAAAAGGAAAAGGCUAGUAGUACUGGCACUAGUGCUUCUUCACCACAGCCGACUUCCUUUUUGACAGACUGACUGUGGAGUGAAUUCCUGUUUAUGGUCAAAGGCUGAAAGCUGUUGUGUGUCUGCAGCAGUGCUGCUGCUACUGAUCUGUGAACAUGACAUGCCUGAUAAUAUUGCAUUGCCAUGGCAACAACAAACAUGGGGCAAAAUUCUAUUAGCUGGAGUGACUCAGUGAGUCAAACAGAUAAUGUGAUGGGCCUGGCCAACUGCCCAACAAAGGUGAUUUAUUUGGAAAGACAAGAGCAUUGUUUCUCCAAGGAAGGAUCCCAGUCCCCUCCAGAAUAUUUGACAGUAUAUGAGAGGUAUUCCCUAGCUACAUCCCUAGAACCACUCAACCUGUCUUUUACGGUUUAAAGGGAGCACACGAAUCUUGCUGUGGCUACUGUCACAGGGAGGACUGCAUCCUCCACCAACACCUAGGAAGGGUUUCAGAAGUCCUCUACUUCGCUCAAGCCUGUGUCUGAGUGGAAAGCACCGUAGCUUUUGUUUCUGAUCUCUGAUUGGAUGAGAGACCUUUUGAAAACAGAGAAAGAUGAAUGAUGAGUAUUGAAUAGCCUCUGGCAAGCAAUGAAUGAUACACUUCUGGUCAAUUUGCUUAUGAGAAUGGCAGAGAAAUCUUGAGGUUUGUAAACUUUUUCAUGAAUUAACUUUCUGUUGCCUGGAUACUAAUGUAAAAUGUCUAGUAUGAAAUGGUAAGUAAAGCAGAAUCAUUUCAUGCAUUUGCAAGUGUAUUUAUAAGUUAUUUUUAAUUAUUAUUGUCUGUUCUGCUCUGUUGCAGAUCCAUUGCUAUUUCCUGUGUAUUAAACAAUGACAACUAUGCACUAUUGUUAGAUUAAAGACAUGAAAGCAGAUUUUUUCAUUAAGGCUCAUAAGCUAGAGGUUAGAUCAGGCACCAACAGUGAAAACCUGAAUGCAUUGUAAUGAAGAAUAAAACAUCCUUUUACCUCCA